rnacentral:rRNA from 1 species
AGAGUUUGAUCCUGGCUCAGGACGAACGCUUGCGGCGUGCCUAAGAAAUGCAAGUCGAACGGGCAGAGCCUUCGGGCUUUGUCAGUGGCGAACGGUCGCGUAACACGUAAGCAACCUGCCCCGAAGUGGGGGGAUAACAGCUCGAAAGGGCUGCUAAUACCGCAUGUGGCCGAGCAGUCGCCUGACUGUUUGUCCAAAGCCUUGUGCGCUUCGGGAUGGGCUUGCGGCCUAUCAGUUAGUUGGUGGGGUAACGGCCUACCAAGGCGUUGACGGGUAGCUGGUCUGAGAGGAUGGUCAGCCGGAUUGGGACUGAGACACGGCCCAGACUCCUACGGGGGGUAGCAAUUAGGAAUCUUGCGCAAUGGGGGCAACCCUGACGCAGCGACGCCGCGUGCGGGAUGACGGCCUUCGGGCUGUAAACCGCUUUUGAAGGGGAAGAAACAAAUGACGGUACCCUUCGAAUAAGCCCCGGCUAACUACGUGCCAGCAGCCGCGGUAAUACGUAGGGGGCGAGCGUUGUCCGAAGUUACUGGGCGUAAAGCGCGCGUAGGCGGUUUUCUAAGUCCGGCGUGAAAGGUUCAGGGCUCAACCCGAACAGUGCGCUGGAGACUGGAGAGCUUGAGGACGGGAGAGGGAAGCGGAAUUCCGGGUGUAGCGGUGAAAUGCGUAGAUAUCCGGAGGAACACCGAUGGCGAAGGCAGCUUCCUGGCCCGUAUCUGACGCUGAGGUGCGAAAGCGUGGGGAGCGAACGGGAUUAGAUACCCUAGUAGUCC